AGAAGAAAAGCUAGAUUCUAGCCUCGAGUUUCACAAUUUUAGUAACAGCACUUGAAGAGGAUAGUAGAAGAUGAUGGGCGGUAAAGAGAGCAUGCAGACUGUAUCCCUUGAGGAUGAUGAAGAGUUGACCUCGAAAUCCCACUCUAAUUAUCGAAGUGCCAUGACUUCUCUUUCUGAUUCCCACCACCCUCUUUCCCCGUCGAUCGUCGCUACACCUGCCGAUUACGACCCCUUGUUAGCUCCUCAAACCCACAUUCUUCAUGUUGAACAACAACUUAACCCUAACGAUUUGACAAUGCCGCCUCCUCCUCCUCCUCCUCCUCCUCCGCCUUUAAACUUGGAGUAUUUGAAUAUCAUUGUUUCCGAUCCACACAAGGAAAUGGAAUCAUCAUCUGCCUCAAUUGUUCCCGGAAGUAAUACUUACGUUACCUAUUUAAUCACCACAAAAACCAAUUUACCCGAUUAUGGAGGAUCCGAUUUCAGCGUGCGGAGACGCUUCAAAGACGUAGUUACUUUAUCUGACCGAUUGAGCGAAGGUUAUAGAGGAUAUUUUAUUCCUCCCAGGCCGGACAAAAGUGUGGUGGAGAGUCAAGUGAUGCAAAAGCAAGAGUUUGUGGAGCAAAGAAGGCUGGCAUUGGAGAAGUACUUGCAGAAGCUCGCAUCACAUCCACUCAUCAAGAAGAGUGAUGAAUUGAGGGUCUUUUUGCAGGUGGAUGGUAAGCUUCCCUUGCCAACCACCACUGAUGUCGCAUCUAGGGUUUUGGAUGGAGCAGUGAAGUUGCCAAAGCAGUUGUUCGGGGAAUCGGGAAAUGUGAUUGGGCCCCAGGAUGUUGUGCUGCCCGCUAAAGGUGGUAAGGAUUUGCUCAGGUUGUUCAAAGAAUUGAAGCAGUCCGUUGCCAAUGAUUGGGGUGGCUCCAAGUCACCUGUCGACGAUGGCGAUAAGGAUUUCCUGCAAAAGAAAGAAAGGUUGCACAAUCUUGAGCUGCAACUAAGUAAUGCCUCAAAGCAGGCUGAAUCACUUGUUAAAGCUCAGCAAGAUAUGGGGGAGACGAUUGGAGAACUUGGGCUAGCAUUUAUUAAGUUGACAAAGUUUGAGAAUGAACGAGCUACAGUGAAUACUCAGAGAGAACGGGCUGCUGAUAUGAGAAACGUGGCAACUGCAGCUGUUAAAGCCAGCAGAUUGUAUCGGGAGUUAAAUUCACAGACAGUGAAGCAUUUGGAUAUUCUACAUGAACACCUGAGUCUAAUGUUGGGCGUACACCAUGCAUUUUCAGACCGAUCAAGUGCUUUAUUGACACUGCAGACUCUCAUUUCGGAGUUAUCUUCUUUAAAUUCAAGAGCAGAGAAACUUGAAACAGCAACCUCUAAGAUAUUUGGAGGUGAUAAAUCAAGGGUUCGAAAGUUGGAAGAGUUAAAAGAUGCCAUUAGGGUCACUGAAGAUGCCAAAAGCUGUGCCAUCAGGGAAUAUGACCGCAUUAAGGAAAAUAAUCGAAGUGAGAUAGAUAGAAUAAAUAGAGAAAGGCAUGUUGACUUUGUGAACAUGUUGAGAGGAUUUGUAACUAGUCAGGUUCUAUGAUGGCAUGUUUUUUGCUGAAGAUAUUGCAAUUAAUUGACGAAACUAGCAAGGAAGUCAAUGAAACGCUGCAAUUACGGAGAAACACAUUAAGACUAAGGAUAUUAAGAUGCAACGAGAACCUGUGGGCUGGAUGAGGCACCAGUCUCUAGGUGUACCAAGAACUUCGCAGGAUGAUCAAGGGGAAGUUGUCUCAAGAUACCAAUGAUCUCUCUAGACGUUUUGGAAAUGGACCACCUGUUUCUACUAUAUGGUGGCUUAUGCAGAGAGAAUUGGACAAGAGUGGUCGAAAGUUGCAGAGGAGACCAGUCGUUAUUCAAGAGAGAGUGCAUAAAACGUAUGCUGUAAAAUCAGAUAUUACCUUUUCCAUCUUUCAUUUUCGUGUCAAUUGAUUGUACAGUGGGAAACUAGAAGACACAUCUAUACUCUAAAGUUUACCUAAGUUUCCCACUCUUAAUAAGUUUUUUCACACUUGAAGAAUUAUUUUCUUGUUUCUGAAUAAAAGGUUUCCAUUUGAAGAAUUGUAUGAACUGCUAACUGACAAGCAUGAAUCCGAACUGCAGUUCUGUGGCAUGAUGGCUUAUUUUCUGGACAGCAUUCAUGGCCAAAUUGAGGAACUAGUUUAAUUGUAAUUCAAUGUCAGCACCGUCUCUCUCAGUAAAAGGGAUAGUGCACAGAGCUUCCUUGCUGCUACCCCACUUGACUGCGCCUGUUUUAACACGAUUGACGAUCUAAGAAGUAGCCUGCUGAAACAAAAGCUUGAGCACGUCGUUUCUUCAAAUAUUGAGGUUCUCCAUUCUUUUUGACCUGACAUAAUUUAUCUCCAGAGUGCAAAUUCAUAAUGGGAUGUAUACUGGCAGCCCCGGUUUAGCCCUACGCAAGAGAACAAUUACGGUUGUGCAUGGUGUUUGAGAAUAAUACAAGUAGAUUUUCCUUGCUGCUAUACUUUUGCGAUGAGCCGAGUAUUCAUAUUUUUGUAUUUUCCAGAAUCCUUCUUAAAGUCUUGAAUAAAGUGUUCUAUAAGGGU